CGGCGCCACCCGACGCCCGAGACCCGGGGUGGGAGUGGGAAGUAAGGGGUGGGGCGUCCGUCGCCUUCUGAUGAAUUACUGCCUAAGGCCGGAGGGGAAUCGGGUCCCUGGAGGCUGGUACCCGGACCCGGAGCUCCUGGGACUGACUGGCUGGAGAUUGAAUUAGUUCUCAAUAAUGGGAAGAACCUACAUUGUAGAAGAGACUAUUGGCCAGUAUCUCUCAAACCUCAAUCUCCAAGGAAAGUCUUUUGUCUCAGGUCUUCUAAUAGGACAGUGUUCUUCACAAAAGGAUUAUGUGAUUCUUGCCACUAGAACACCACCGAAAGAGGAAAACAAUGAGAACCUCAAACAUCCCAAAGAUAAAGUGGAUAACUUGGAUGAAGAAUGGGCCACAGAACAUGCUAACCAGGUAUCCAGAAUGCUACCUGGGGGACUUUUAGUUCUUGGAGUAUUUAUUAUUACAACAUUAGAAAUGGGAAAUGAUUUUCAAAAUACCCUGCGCAGACUAGUAUUUGCUGUGGAAAAAUCUAUGAAUAAAAAGAGACUGUGGAAUUUCACAGAGGAGGAAGUCUCAGAUCGAGUGACACUUCAUAUUUGCUCUUCUACAAAAAAAAUACUUUGUCGAACUUAUGAUAUCCAUGAUCCAAAGAGUUCAGCAAAACCAGCAGAUUGGAAGUAUCAAAAUGGACUAUUAACUUCAUGGCUUUCUUUAGAGUGUACAGUUCAUAUUAAUAUUCACAUCCCACUGUCUACUACUUCUGUCAGCUAUCCUCUGGAGAAAAAUACAAAGAAUGGACUUGCACGCUGGGCGAAGCAAAUAGAAAAUGGUGUUUAUUUGAUUAAUGGACAAGUUAAAGCUGAAGAUUGUGACCUACUAGAAGGACAGAAAAAACCUAGAGGAAAUGCUCAAGCAAGUAGUUGUUCUUUUGAUGUCAGAGUGUUAACACAGUUGCUUCUGAAUUCAGACCACAGAUCCACAGCCACCGUCCAGAUCUGCAGCGGCUCUGUAAACCUUAAGGGCGCUGUGAAGUGCAGAGCUUACAUUCAUAGCAAUAAACCCAAGGUUAAGGAUGCUGUGCAGGCAGUGAAGAGAGAUAUAUUGAAUACAGUUGCCGAUCGUUGUGAAAUACUAUUUGAGGAUCUGCUUUUGAAUGAAAUUCCAGAAAAAAAAGAUUCUGAAAAAGAGUUUCACAUCCUUCCUCACCGGGUUUUUGUCCCCAUUCUGGGAUCCACGGUAAUGUUAUGUGAUUAUAAAUUUGGUGAUGAGUCAGCUGAAGAAAUCAGAGACCAUUUUAUAGAGAUGUUAGAUCAUAGGAUUCAAAUAGAAGAUUUGGAAAUUGCAGAGGAAAUAAACACAGCUUUUCUGAGUUCCUCUAUGAAUUCUGAAGCUCCGUUGGACAAUAGAGAUGAUGAACAGCCAAAAGAACCAAUGCAAACUUCAAUAGUAUUGAAAAUUCGGCAAAACAUGGGUAUGAUUGCAGCAUUUGCAGUUGCAGUCCUUGCUGUGGGUAUCGCCUUUCACUACUUCAGUGAUUAGGGUGAAGCACAAAGAGCUUCCUGAUCAUCCACAGAACACUGACCAACAAUUAUGAAUAAUAAAAGAUGCAAACAAGCCUUCUGCAUUUAAGACAACAGCAGCCAAUCUGCUGCCAAACUCCUAUUAGAUUUUAGUCCUCUUGAUCUGGAUCACAUAUUCAUCAGGACAUUGAGAAUUUGAAUAGUCAGGGUUGGCUGAAUAUCUUAGUCAUAGAACAAAAGGAGAAAUUUCUACAAAGUGGGGCAACAACCUAUUGGGUAAGUUCAUACUGUAGGACCUUUCUAAUGUUUACCCAGUUCCAAAAUAUUGACCAAGUUCUGAUCAAGGAGUAGGAGACCUUUCCGGAUUUGAAUCAGUAAAGAUUGCCAUAAAUCA